UACGUAGGGUGCAAGCGUUAAUCGGAAUUACUGGGCGUAAAGGGCGCGUAGGCGGCCCGCUAAGUCGAACGUGAAAUCCCCGGGCUCAACCCGGGAACUGCGUCCGAUACUGGCGGGCUUGAAUCCGGGAGAGGGAUGCGGAAUUCCAGGUGUAGCGGUGAAAUGCGUAGAUAUCUGGAGGAACACCGGUGGCGAAGGCGGCAUCCUGGACCGGUAUUGACGCUGAGGCGCGAAAGCCAGGGGAGCAAACGGG
rnacentral:rRNA from 1 species